GUGUCAGCAGCCGCGGUAAGACGGAGGGUGCUAGCGUUGUUCGGAUUGACUGGGCGUAAAGGGCGUGUAGGCGGUUGGCCCAGUCCGGUGUGAAAGCCCGAGGCUUAGCCUCGGAAGUGCAUCGGAAACUAGCCGACUGGAGCGCGAUAGAGGAGGGUGGAAUUCCUGGUGUAGCGGUGAAAUGCGUAGAUAUCAGGAGGAACACCGGCGGCGAAGGCGGCCCUCUGGAUCGUUGCUGACGCUGAGACGCGAAAGCGUGGGGAGCAAACAGGAUUAGAUACCCUGGUAGUCC
rnacentral:rRNA from 1 species